GACGAACGCUGGCGGCGUGCCUAAUACAUGCAAGUUGAGCGCUGAAGGUUGGUACUUGUACCAACUGGAUGAGCAGCGAACGGGUGAGUAACGCGUGGGUAAUCUGCCUUUGAGCGGGGGACAACAUUUGGAAACGAAUGCUAAUACCGCAUAAAAACUUUAAACACAAGUUUUAAGUUUGAAAGAUGCAAUUGCAUCACUCAAAGAUGAUCCCGCGUUGUAUUAGCUAGUUGGUGAGGUAAAGGCUCACCAAGGCGAUGAUACAUAGCCGACCUGAGAGGGUGAUCGGCCACAAUGGGACUGAGAAACGGCCCAAACUCCUACGGGGGGGAGCAGUAGGGAAUCUUCGGCAAUGGACGAAAGUCUGACCGAGCAACGCCGCGUGAGUGAAGAAGGGUUUCGGAUCGUAAAACUCUGUUGGUAGAGAAGAACGUUGGGGAGAGUGGAAAGCUCAUCAAGUGACGGUAACUACCCAGAAAGGGACGGCUAACUACGUG
rnacentral:rRNA from 1 species